GACGAACGCUGGCGGCGUGCUUAACACAUGCAAGUCGAACGGAAAGGCCCUGCUUUUGUGGGGUGCUCGAGUGGCGAACGGGUGAGUAACACGUGAGUAACCUGCCCUUGACUUUGGGAUAACUUCAGGAAACUGGGGCUAAUACCGGAUAGGAGCUCCUGCUGCAUGGGGGGGGUUGGAAAGUUUCGGCGGUUGGGGAUGGACUCGCGGCUUAUCAGCUUGUUGGUGGGGUAGUGGCUUACCAAGGCUUUGACGGGUAGCCGGCCUGAGAGGGUGACCGGCCACCUUGGGACUGAGAUACGGCCCAGACUCCUACGGGAGGCAGCAGUGGGGAAUAUUGCACAAUGGGCGGAAGCCUGAUGCAGCAACGCCGCGUGCGGGAUGACGGCCUUCGGGUUGUAAACCGCUUUCGCCUGUGACGAAGCGUGAGUGACGGUAAUGGGUAAAGAAGCACCGGCUAACUACGUGCCAGCCGCCGCCGUAAGAC
rnacentral:rRNA from 1 species